ensembl:lncRNA
GUUUGUUUAUUGGACCUAGAAAGUUAGGAGGAGAUGGGUUUGCUUCCAUAAUGAUGUUCCUGUGGUGGGAUGUAAUUAAGGGAAGGGAGCAGGGACCCCUGAGUGGAGCCGCUGAGGCCCUCUUAAACCAAGCUGGUUUGUCAUGCUCCAGGUCUGCUAAGUUUGUAUUGUCAGGUUGUGCACAGAAGUGUCUUAAGCUGUUUCCAGAGUGGACGUAACCCUGAAAGCAAUGGGUUCAUGCACAUCUUGUGCUUGAUUCCUGAAGCCUGGCUCUGAGCUGGCUCAGCACAGGGCUGAGGUGUGGCUGACUUUGGCCUGCUCGGAGCACUGACUGCACAUGUUAAGGAACACCUUGAAGAUCUGAUUCCACUGAAGGAAUGCUCACGUGGAGUAAUGGCUUUCCAUGUUUUCUGGAGUUUGGCAGUCACAUGGGUUCUGACAGCAAUGCCACGUGCUCUGGGACAUUAGGCAGCAAUGUCUGGUUGGUCUCCUAUAGCUGUUAACCUGCAUAUUUCCAUUUUUCAAAUCCCUUCCUUCUAGCAUUACGUCUGUUCUGUAUACUGGCUCUCCUCUGAGUUCAGACGGCUCCUGCUACCAUACAGCACGUGCUGUGCCAGAUGCUGAAGGACAGAGACUGUGAUGAGCACUAUCAGUGUGCAACGUGAACUGAUGGCAGUAAAUGUAAAGCGUGCCAUGGAUUAGCUAAUCUUCCAGAAGAACCCCAGCAUCUGCAUGCCAUGGCAAGUGAUCUGAGGAGCUCCAGGUGGGUGUGCUACAUGUAUAUCGAGUCGUCUCUCUAGACACUGUACUCUAUGAACUGCACGUGCAUUGUAGAAUUGUUUCCUUCCUGGUCCUUUUGUAAUGUCUGGUGUUUUAGUUUUGUUUUUUUUUUUUCCAAAUAAAUAUCUUUUGAAGUCAUUACUUUGUGGGUGUUUUCCAAGGGUCUGAGCGUUCUCUUGUGUUGCUGGUCCUCGCUGAUGUAUUUAUUCUCUUUGGAUCACACGGGGUAAGGGAGCAGAGAAAGUCAUAAUUGCUUCAGUUGGGUGCAAAAUGCAAACCCUUUUUUCUGAAGACUUUCAAGUAUUUUCUUGGAGAGCCCUUAGCAGAGGGAAAAUAAUUCUGAGCAAACCUGAAGAAACUUCUCAUGACACAAAAUCUAUUCUGAAUUUACAUUUGGAAAGCAGUGAUAAAUUAGAGUUCAGCAUCCUGUGAUUUUUACUCUCCUGUGAAGUGCCGAUUCCUCUGGGAACCUUCAGCAGUAUGAAGUUAAGGGUAGCCUUGCACUUGCAUGAAUAAUAAAGAUUUGGCUUAAUCUUGGCUCGUUAGAUCCCCCCACCCCGGAGGAAUGAGAAGAGCACACCCAGUGGUCUUUAACAUGCAGCACCUCGCUGUCUUUGAAGUCUUCCAUUUGAUUUUUUUUCAGGCACUAAGGGGUAAAGUGCCCCGUGAACUGCCAUAGGUGGUGAUCUGUGUGUGCAUGGAUGUAGUUACUGAAGAAUUCCUUUCUUCUAGAAAGUAUUCUGGCAUGUCACAUUGUUCAGUCUGGCUUCAUUUUUCAUUUCAGCUGUGCAGGCAUUUCCAGAAUCACUCUGCUCUUUUUCCCUUUUGCUUAUUCCUUUUCACAUGCCAUGUGCCAGUCCUGCUGAGCUGCAGGAUUGAGUGCUUCCUAAAAACAACUACACCAAUGCUGGCACAAGACUGUUACGGAGACUUGACCAUGAAAGCAGAAUUAUAGUUAAUCCUGUACCAAACGUGUUAAGCAAAUGAAAUAAAAUAAAAAUCCAGAUGUUCUGAA